CACCCCCCCUCCCCGCCCGCUCCGCUCUCCCUCUCUCGAUUGGAGCCGAGACAAAAGCAACGGGAAGCGGCGGGCCAGGACGCUGCCCGCGGACCCCGGGCGCGGCCGGACCGGCCCCGAGGCAUUCCCCAGCCUUGAGGGGGCCCCGAAUCCGCCGCCCCCGCCGCGCGCCCCGCUGCCAGACUUCCGAAAAUUUGCCAAAAACUCACCGCAUGAAUUUUCUUGUCCCGCGGAUCCAAGAUGGCGACGUAUCCACCGCGGAGGCUGCUGGGAGCAAGACCUUUACCCUCUGACCCCCGCCGUGACCCCCGUCGUUCCGGCUUCCCUCAAGGCGGCGGCGGAAGCACCCGCAACCUCCGGUUCUUGUGCACGCACUUCCAGGGACUUGGCAGCACGUCACCAUCACCUCCUGAGAAGGUGAAUUGAUUAUUGUACUGAGUACAGCAAACAGCUUUUUCCACUAAGAAUAUAUAAAAAAGAAACUGUCAAAGAAGUAAAAGAGGAGAAUGAGCUGUCACAGGUUACAAGAAUUUCAAAAAGGUAGGAAAAUCAAGACACAGAGACUAACUUGCCUGAUGUUAUGAAGCUAGGAAAUGGAAGACCUGUGGUCCAGAUUCCAGGUAGUCUGGUUCCCCCGGCUUAAUCACUAUACACAGGGUCACUCUUUAAACAGAAAGGAAUUUGCUGGCAUGACUGAUGAAAUCUGAUGGGACAGUGGAGCAUGGGCAGGGCACUUCGAGCCUCUGCUCACAUGUGGUCCCACUUCCCACCACCUCUGCACUUCCUGCUUCUCUGGGUUCUUGGCUACCCACUCCCCACCUGUAGUGCUCCGGGUGGCAAGUAAGAUGCCCAAUGCGAGGCUCUGAGAUGCGAAAUGACUUCCUCAAGGUGACAUGGCCUGCGUGGCUCAUUAUUCCGUGAUACUACCUCCCCGGGGAUGUGGUUGAAGAUGGAGAGGAGAAGAAAUGCUAAGAAAGAAGCUCUGUGGCUUUGUUCUAUUAGCAAGACCGGAUGGAGUGUUGGUGAAACAGCAGUGAAACCUCACGGAACAAAAUGAGAUCACUCCUGCAACGGUUCUGCCCCAGAGCAUAUUUAUAAGCAAUUUCAGAAAGAAAAUAUCAGUUCAUGUUGUACUGGACCAAACACCAGUGACGAGCUGGGAGAAAGUUCAGGAGUCUCCAGUGGCCAUGAGAAGACUGACCGCUUUACAAAUCUCUUCAGUGAUUCCUAUCCCUAGCAGAGGAACUGAAACAGAGAAAUUCUCAGUUUUUAUUAAAAUGACUUGCCAGCAUUUUUCUUUUCACGUCCUUGGCUUAUGAUCUGCAGUAACUUGCACUGGUUAUUAUAAAUGUUUUUCUGUAUCCUGGGUUUGAAAGCAAAAAUGCAACAAGGAAGGUUUUUGAACUUGCCGUCCUCCCUUCCCUGCCAGUUGCUCCAGUCAUGAUUGCCUUUCCUGUUGUUUUUUUUUUUCCUCAUCAUGAUUCCUUUUUAAUUCCUAUCACCCAUUUCCCCUAUCCUUCCACCCACCUCUCCUCUGGGAACCAUCAGUCUAUUCUCUAUAGUAAAGAGUCUGUUUCUUGGUUUCUCUCUCUCUCUCCUUGGGAAAAAGGCUUUAAAAGCAUCAGAGAGGAUUACAUGAAGACCCAGAGACAUCAGGGCGCGCAUGUGUGUCUCGGUGUGCACGGUGCUUCUGAGGACACGUGUGAGCGCAUGAUGCGUGAGUGUGGCUGCGCAGGCUUGGGUCCCUCCGGCUCAGUACUCAGGGCAUCUGCACAGGGGCUGGGAGGCAACCCGCAGGCGGGUGCUGGUCUCUUCUCAGCCGUGAUUUGGGAAGGAGGAGGAAGAGGCCUGAAGGUAAAACACGGGGUGAGAGAUUACAGGUUUCGUAAACCAAGUAAACCAAGUAAUCCAUUUCGGAAUGAAAUCGCUGUUGAGGCUGUCCAGACGUCCGUGGCAUAUUUAUGAAGAGAACGGAAAACCCUCACAGUGAUUCUAAAGCCAUCCCUGGCUUGGUAUCCACAUCCACGCUAUAGAAAGGGUUUAUAGCCGGCGGCAUCUAAAGAUCUCAGAAAACCCCUUCUAGACGAUGCCAUACUCAUGAUUGCCUCUCGCCUUUCUGUCGUUCUCUCCGCAUGCCAUCUCUGAAUCCGAUUUAGCAAUCUCAGGCCGGGCACGGGGCCUCACGUUUCGUGGCUCCGUAAGGGGGGGGGGGUAGGGUAAAAGCAGAAGGGAGCCACUCUAGAUAAAGGCGCUGCCUGAGGAGACCCCGUUAGUGGAGACUCUACUGAGCACAAGGCUGGCGAAUGCCGGUCAUCAGCCACACGAAGUAAGGGAAGAGUGCCUGCUAGAAAAUGCCCCAACCGCCGUGGGAAACAGAGCCCGGUAAACAGCAGCAAUAAACAUUUACAGAAAAUAGAAUCACACCUCUAAGCUCGGCAAUGAAGGACAUUUGCAUUUAGAAUAAUGAAAACAGAACAUAAAUUGUUAGAAAAUUUUGGUAGAAACAUAUUGCGGGAUGAAGUGGAAGGUAGUUGAGCUAAUGUCUAAAAUUGACGAACGGUAGCAGCGUAAGUAUAUUCUUUAGAAACGUAGGCCUCGUUCAAGAACAAAGAGCAGAAAUUCCUUGCUGCUGGUGUGUGAGAGAGAACUAUAUCCUCAACCGUGAGCUCACUGGUCCCAUUCAACUCCCGAAAUCACAUGCAUGUAUUACUCUGAUAAAAUAACAUUUGAAAACAUGGAAUUUUGUCCACUUCCAUAACUCAGUGCAUUGGGAAGUCAGCAUGACUAAUUCCUCAUUCCCUGUGUAAAGACAAAAGAUCACAGCUUCUCCCAUCUUGCACAUUCCUCAAUUUGGAGCCCUUUAUCCUCUGCAAUCCAAAAACACUGUAACUGGGGCAGUGAAUUCCCCUGGGCUAGCCUGUCUAUGAAGGUCUAUUUUCAACAUUUCAGGGUUUUCUGCAUGCACAGGCUUCACAUACAGGAGCUCUUGUUGAAGGAAGAUCAUUUGAUGACAUUGAAACACUUUGCAAUGAGACAAACAUUUGCAAUCAUUUUUAGGGGAAUGUACGCCUUACAUUGCAACAAUGAGAAUAAUUUGCAUUCUGAAUGAAGAGGAAAACAAAAUAGUGAAAUGUUAGGCAUGUCUUGGUUUGUAAAGAUGGGGACUAGCCCCCUGGGAGUUUGUACAAUUCCUCCCCUGAAGCCAUUUGUACUUCUUCAUUGUUUAUUUGCACAUACCUGGCUUCACACAAGAAAGGAAAGAUUUUUGUUUCUUCUGUUU